GUGCUCACUUCAGCAGCACAUAUACUAAAAUUGGAAAGAUACAGAGAAGAUUAGCAUGGCCCCUGCACAAGGAUGACAUGCAAAUUCGUGAAGCAUUCCAUAUUUUU
rnacentral:snRNA from 1 species